rnacentral:rRNA from 1 species
AUUGAACGCUGGCGGCAGGCCUAACACAUGCAAGUCGAGCGGAUGAAGGGAGCUUGCUCCUGGAUUCAGCGGCGGACGGGUGAGUAAUGCCUAGGAAUCUGCCUGGUAGUGGGGGAUAACGUCCGGAAACGGGCGCUAAUACCGCAUACGUCCUGAGGGAGAAAGUGGGGGAUCUUCGGACCUCACGCUAUCAGAUGAGCCUAGGUCGGAUUAGCUAGUUGGUGGGGUAAAGGCCUACCAAGGCGACGAUCCGUAACUGGUCGGAGAGGAUGAUCAGUCACACUGGAACUGAGACACGGUCCAGACUCCUACGGGAGGCAGCAGUGGGGAAUAUUGGACAAUGGGCGAAAGCCUGAUCCAGCCAUGCCGCGUGUGUGAAGAAGGUCUUCGGAUUGUAAAGCACUUUAAGUUGGGAGGAAGGGCAGUAAGUUAAUACCUUGCUGUUUUGACGUUACCAACAGAAUAAGCACCGGCUAACUUCAUG